CCCAGGACGCCGCGGGUCGGGAAGUCUGUGAGCCGAGCUAGCACACCGCCAGCUCCCGGGGCUUCCGCGCAGGGGGCGUGACCCGCCGGAGGAGUCCUGGGCCAAGGUGAACUUUAAUCUUUUUUGUAUGCGGAAAUGGAAAAUGAUCGGUGGCGUCAAGUAAAGACCAUCUAAUCAGUAAGACACACAUGGCAAUGGUGUGGAUGAAGGAACAGGGGUAACAGAUUGGGUGGAACCCACACCUACAUGCAAGUUCUGCAAAAGAGGAUCGGGUGUAGCCACCGAAAGCAUCGCUUGCUUGAUACCGCCCACCAGAAAACGAGCAACAGCUGGCAACAAGAGCCAUUUUUAUCUCCAAGAGCAAGACGUUCCCAAUAAAAUUUGUGGGCUCUCCCACCAUUCCGGCAGUCCACACCAAAGCAGGAGAAAAUGUUCAAACCUUAAUUAUUGUGUAGAGCGAGUGUUUUCUUCUCUCAGAGACUGGGAGAGGAAAGGAGGCAGGGCAGAGAGAUGACCUCACAGAAUAUGGCCUGACUAGAGGGACAGCUGAGAAAUCCUGAAGCAAGAGGGAAAAGAACAGAAGCACCCCUGGUGUGGAUCAGAAGACGAGGAACCGUCUUAGAGAAGGGCCGAAGGACCCACUGCCCACACCUGCGCUGUCCAGGGUGGGGCCGCUCACCACUGGUGGCCAUUUACAUUCAAAUUAAAUCAUAUUAAAUAAAAUGUAAAGUUCAAUUUCUUGGCUAUACUAGCCACAUUUCACAUGCCCAAUAGCCACACAUAGCCAGUGGCUACUGAAAGAGCUGAAAAUACACCACCCUGUGGAUUGACUAAGUUAGACACCUGAGGGGCCAGCAAGGUAGCUCACACCUGUAAUCCCAGCACUUUGGGAGGCUGAGGUGGGCGGAUCACUUGAGGUGUGGAGUUGAAGACCAGCCUGGUCAACAUGGUGAAACCCCAUCUCCACUAAAAAUCUGAAAAUUAGCUGGGUGUGGUGGUGCAUGCCUGUAAUCCCAGCUACUCAGGAGGCUGAGGCAGGAGAAUCACUUAAACCUGGGAGGUGGAAUGGAAGUUGCAGUGAGCCGAGAUCACGCCAUUACACUCUAGCCUGGGCAACAAUGUGUGAGACUCGGUCUCAAAGCCGAGAUCACGUCACUGCAUUCCAGCCUGGGCAACAGGGUGUGUGAGACUCCGUCUCAAAGCCGAGAUCACACCACUGCACUCCAGCCUGGGCAACAGGGUGUGUGAGACUCCGUCUCAAAAAAAAAAGUUAGACACCUGGAAAAUGGCAAGUGCAAGAAGAUCACUCUGACCUUUUCUUUUUUUGCCUACAGAAUACACGCUGGAUAGAUACUUCGGCCUCUUGUUUCUUAAAAGCAAGAGAUGAAAUUCCCAUAUGAAAGAUGUCCUUCCUAUACUAGAAAUAAAGAACAUUCUUAUCACCAAAGACAGGAAAUUGAGGCCAAGCGAAUUCUGUAAAAACAAACCCUGUUAAACUAACCCUUAUCUUCCUAGUCAUUUCUCUAUCCGGUUAACUACCCUAGCCCAAGCCCCUCUGCCUCAUCGCAUUUUCAGUUUACUCUUCUCUGUCCAAUUCAGUAAAAAGUAACACACUCUAACUGCUUCUUGGGGUUUUUAUUUCCUUAUGAGAACUUCCACGCCACGUAAACUUUUAUCAAAUACAUCUGCGUGCUUUUUUGCUGUUUGUCUUGUAUCAGUUUAAUUCUCAACCCCACCAGGAGCCUAGGUGGAUGGAACAUAGGAUGCCCCCUACACUAACAUACUGGACUGCGCAGACAGAGAACAUUUUUAUCUUUGCACAAGUCCUAGUGGACGGCACUAGCCUCUAUGUGCCUUGCAUUUCAGCAGCUCUGGACACGUGUAAGAAAAGAGAAAAAAAGGCUUUAGGGUAUUUCUGAGAAGGCAGAGCAGGAAAGGACCCCGUAGCCUGAACAAGGCAGAGCCAACAGUACUGCUGGCUUUUCCCUAUGAGCACCUGGAUGUUCAGAAUGAAUCAACACACACCCCGAAAGAUGGUCUAUCAAGACAGGGCUGAAGCUACUUGAGAACCCCAACUCUGGCCAGGUGCAGUGGCUCACGCCUGUAAUCCCAACACUUUGGGAGGCUGAGGCAAGCAGAUCACCUGGGGUUGGAAGUUCAAGGCCAGCCUGACCAACAUGGAGGUUGGUCUCUAUUGAAAAUACAAAAUUAGGCCGGGCGCGGUGGCUCACGCCUAUAAUCCCAGCACUUUGGGAGGCUGAGGCGGGUGGAUCACGAGGUCAAGAGAUCGAGACCAUCCUGGUCAACAAGGUGAAACCCUUUUUAGUAUCUCUACUAAAAAUACAAAAUUUAGCUGGGCACGGUGGCGCGUGCCUGUAAUCUCAGCUGCUCAGGAGGCUGAGACAGGAGAAUUACCUGAACCCAGGAGGCAGAGGUUGUGGUGAGCCGAGAUCGAACCAUUGCACUCCAGCCUGGGUAACAAGAGCGAAACUCCAUCUCAAAAAAAAAAAAAAGAAAAUACAAAAUUAGCCAGGCGUUGUUGCGGGCUCCUGUAAUCCCAGCUACUCAGGAGACUGAGGUGGGAGAGUCGCUUGAACUCCAGAGGUGGAGGCUGCAGUUAGCCGAGAUGGCACCAUUGCACUCCAGCCUGGGCAACAAGAGCAAAACUCAGUCUCUAAAAAGAAAGAAAAAGAAAAAAGAACUCCAACUCUAAGAAAGCCAGAGUCAGAAAACAACAGAAUUGAUAUGGGAAAAGGGUGUAGCCAUCUGCAUGUGCUCGCAGAAGGGGAGCAAGCAUCAGGCAAAGAUCCAGUAUGGAAUGUUACAGGGCAUGACUGCGGGUUCACUGAUGCAAAGCAAGAAGCUCGCCCCAUUAAAGGGGAGGGAAAUGAGGUGCCACCUCCUGAUGGGAAGGCCUCCAAGGAUUUGCCGAUGUUUGCAAACCACAACAGUUAGGUCAGAGGGAGUCCGUGUUUAGCCUGGUCUACUCUGAUUGCACUGACAAAGCUGGGAAGCUGGAGCCCCCAGGCUGGGGUUAGGGGACAGCCCUCACCUCACAUGGCCCUGCUGUCCCAAGGGUCCCUGCCCGGGUCUGCAGUGGUCUCCUCUGAUGACAUCUCAGAUUUGGUUCUUCCUGAAAUGCUAAGCAUGGCUCAGUCAUCGAACAAGGUCAAACCACCUAAAGCAGUGUUGUGCCUCAGAAGGCAGGGAAGGACGAAGUCCAUUUGCCAGGCUCUUCACCCCAAAUCGUUAAAGGAAUGCAUUAAUGAAGAUAAGUCCUCCGUCCGUGUGGAACGUUGUGCAGUCCUAAGGAUAGAAUUCAAUUGUUCUAUUGACAGUAAUUCUUCUCAUUUUUCUCAUAGACUAACAAAACCCAAGAACAUUUGAAUGACGGAUUUCAGAAAAAUAAUUAAAUAGCUGUCUUUUAUUAAUCUUUAAAAAUUUUUUCAAAACAACAUCAGUUUAUGUGUAUAUGCGCAGAUGUAUGCGGUGACAUUUCUCACGAUGUCAAAAUUGUUACGAGUUGCCCCAACUCUAACUUUAUUAAUCUUACUUAACAUUUCCUUAAAAAAUUACUCUAUAAAAUUCAGACCAAAAAGUUAGAAAAGGUAAAAUUAAAUAUACACAAAUAUCUGUUAGGGGAAACAAAAAGAAGGGUAAAUUAAGUUAAAAUAAAUCCUUAUGAGAAAAUACUUACUGUCAUUAGUAAGUGUUCUUCUUCUUCCUUUUUCUUUUCUUUUCUUUCCUUUUUUUUCUGAGGCACGGUCUCACUCUGCUGCCCAAGCUGAUGUGUGCAAUCACAGUUCACUGCAGCCCAAAUCUCCUGGGCCUAAGUGGUCCUCCCACCUCAGCCUCCUGAGUAGCUGGGACUACAGGCAUGAACCACCGCACCCAGCUAUUUUUUUUUUUAACUUUUAUCUUUAGUAGAGACAAGAUUGCUGUGAUGCCCAGGCUGGUCCCAAACUCCUGAGCUCAAGCAAUCUUUCAAUCUCAGCCUCCCAAAGUGCUGGGAGUAUGGGCAUGAGCCACUGCGCCCUACUAAAUAUUAUUUUUAUUAGUUGAUAUGAAAGUCUACAAAAAAAUUUUGAAAUUAACUUGAUGCCAUUAUUAAGGGCAAAUGGGCAUAAGAUCAUAUUGACAAGUUUUAUUUAUAUUAUAUAUUCUAGGACCUUUCUUAUCUAUGCUUAAUAUAAGUUAUUGUUGUGAGCCUGACACGAUUGCUUAAGGGGACAAAUGGUUUAUUUCCCACAUAAUCUUUGAAUUCCUAGAAGAAAUUUUAGGGGAAAAAACGAUGCUCAUAAUUCUACCUACCCAAUGAAACAUUUAUAAUUUUUUAUACAUAUGUAUUCCUAUCUCAUUUUUAUCCAAGUAACUUAUAUACGCAUGUAUUAUUAGGAUAUAUGUUUGUAGUUUAUAUUUUUUGUUUGUUUAUAAAACAUGUAUUUUCUCUGUUGCA